rnacentral:rRNA from 1 species
UACGUAGGGGGCAAGCGUUGUCCGGAUUUAUUGGGCGUAAAGAGCGUGUAGGCGGCUAGGUAGGUCCGUUGUGAAAACUCGAGGCUCAACCUCGAGACGUCGAUGGAAACCAUCUAGCUAGAGUCCGGAGGAGGAGAGUGGAAUUCCUGGUGUAGCGGUGAAAUGCGCAGAUAUCAGGAGGAACACCGGUGGCGAAGGCGGAUCUCUGGGCCAUAACUGACGCUGAGAAGCGAAAGCAUGGGGAGCGAACAGG